rnacentral:rRNA from 1 species
AAAGGAAUUGACGGGCACCCGCACAAGCGGUGGAGCAUGCUGUUUAAUUCGAAGAUACGCGAAGAACCUUACCUAGACUUGACAUCCCCGGCAAAGCUAUAGAAAUAUAGUAGAGGUUACCCGGGUGACAGGUGGUGCAUGGUUGUCGUCAGCUCGUGUCGUGAGAUGUUCGGUUAAGUCCGAUAACGAGCGCAACCCUUAUUAUUAGUUACUAACAUUUAGUUGAGGACUCUAAUGAUACUGCCGGUGAUAAACCGGAGGAAGGUGGGGAUGACGUCAAAUCAUCAUGCCCCUUACGUCUAGGGCUACAGGCGUGCUACAAUGGCCAAUACAAAGAGUCGCAAUACCGUAAGGUGGAGCUAAUCUCUAAAGUUGGUCUCAGUUCGGAUUGAGGUCUGCAACUCGACCUCAUGAAGCUGGAAUCGCUAGUAAUCCUGAAUCAGAAUGUCAGGGUGAAUACGUUCCCGGGUGUUGUACACACCGCCCGU